CUAUUUUAUUGAUAGAUUUUUUUAACCUCAAAAAGACAUGGCUUCAUUCAUUGAUUUACCAAAUCAAAUUAAAAGUCAGUAACUCUGAAAUUAACCAUUUGUCUUUGAUUUCACAACUAUUUCCUAUCAUUUUUUGGAACAGAAUUUUCACUAGCAUACAGAUCAUCUGACAAGCAAAACGUCUGUUUAACUGAAUAUCAUUAUGGUAAAAAUCCAUUUGAAAUAUAGUUUAUCGAACUGUACGGCGAUUUGAAGUGCAAAACUUCGUGUUUUAUACUGGCUUUAUAUUAGGUGCUUUGUGUCCAUUUUAAUGGCACGCGAGGCGUAUUAUUCUGUCUGAACAAAAUGUGCCCUGAGAGUUGAACUGUUUUGUUACGGAACUUAUUUCUGUUGUAUUCAAAUAUGUAGUUGUAAUUAACUGGCCGGUAAUAGUCGGCACUAUUCAAUGUAUGUUGUACUGGUGUGUAAUAAUCUAUGUUUUUGUGUGAUGUACUUUCAUGUAAUAAUGUAUGGGUUUUUUUACGAGCCUUCGACUUUUGUAGCGAUUCUACAUUCCGUCGUCUUCGUCGUCGUCGUCGUCCACAAAUAUUCACUAUGUGGUUAAAUCUUUUGAAGUUUUAAUAACUUUCGAUUUCUACAAUAAUCGAACAGAAGCUUGUUUAUGAUCAUAAGAUACUAGUAGUAUCAAGGAGUAGACUUAGUUUUCUGCCAUGAAACAUCAAAUUCACUCUGUAAUUAAAGUUUUUAAAAUUUUAAUAACUUUCUUAAACUAUCCUGGAUUUCUACCAAACUUGGACAGAAGCUUGUUUAUGAUCAUAAGAUAGUAUCCAGAAACAAAAUUGUAAUAACAAAUUUCAUUUUUUCCGUAUUUAACUUAUAAAUGGUCUUAGUUUUUCUUCAAGUUAACAUUACAUACAGUCUGCAGUUAAAAGUUUUUAAAACAUUUAUUAGAUUCAUAAACUAUCCUGGUUUUUUACCAAACUUGGACAGAAACUUCCUACAAUUAAAAGAUAGUAUCGAGAAAAAUAUUAUUAUUUGUUUCCCCUCUUUUGUGUUAGCCCUCGAUUAACAGCAAAAGAAGACACUGGGUUCCGCGGAACUCUUACAAAUUCUUUUUAUCUAUAAUGUACAGUUGUAUUGAACCGUACUUUUUUGGUAGGCUAAUAUAAAAAAGAAGAUGUGGUAUGAUUGCCAAUGAGACAACUGUCCACAAGAGACCAAAAUGACACAGACAUUAACAACUAUAGGUCAUCGUACGGCCUUCAACAAUGAGCAAAGCCCUCACAUCAUAGUCAGCAAUAAAAGACCCCUAUAUGACAAUGUAAAACAAUUCAAACGAGAAAACUAAGCUUAUUGUUGUGUUAUAAUUUGUGAGUUAUAUGAUGAUUUUUUUUUAUUAAAUUGACAAUUUGUGCUUUGUAUUAAUUUGUUUUCCAUUGAAGUAUUAGUUUUCUAUAAACUUUUACAUGAUUUAUUAUCACGAAGUAACC
rnacentral:lncRNA from 1 species